rnacentral:rRNA from 1 species
GUCGAGCGGAGAUGAGGUGCUUGCACCUUAUCUUAGCGGCGGACGGGUGAGUAAUGCUUAGGAAUCUGCCUAUUAGUGGGGGACAACAUUCCGAAAGGGAUGCUAAUACCGCAUACGUCCUACGGGAGAAAGCAGGGGAUCUUCGGACCUUGCGCUAAUAGAUGAGCCUAAGUCGGAUUAGCUAGUUGGUGGGGUAAAGGCCUACCAAGGCGACGAUCUGUAGCGGGUCUGAGAGGAUGAUCCGCCACACUGGGACUGAGACACGGCCCAGACUCCUACGGGAGGCAGCAGUGGGGAAUAUUGGACAAUGGGGGGAACCCUGAUCCAGCCAUGCCGCGUGUGUGAAGAAGGCCUUAUGGUUGUAAAGCACUUUAAGCGAGGAGGAGGCUACUGAGACUAAUACUCUUGGAUAGUGGACGUUACUCGCAGAAUAAGCACCGGCUAACUCUGUGCCAGCAGCCGCGGUAAU